AUGGCUACAUUCGCUGCUGCAGCCGUGGCUCUUCCAGGUCGCGUUGCCGGAUCUCGGCGGUGCGUGGUGGCGCGGGCGUCUGCGACUAUGCCGGUGGCAGGGAGGACGCACUACGAGGUGCUCGGGGUGGGCGCGCGGGCCAGUAGGGGGGAGAUCAAGGCUGCGUACCGGCACCUUGCCAGGGAGGUGCACCCGGACGGCACAGGUGGAGGUGGCAACGAGGGCUUCAUCCGGCUGCACGCGGCCUACGCCACGCUCGCCGACCCCGACGAGCGCGCGUGCUACGACCGGAACGUGGCCGGCCGCGCCGCGGCUAUGAUGAUGCGGCGGGCUGGAGCGGCGGUGCCAGCGUUCCGGCGGAGGACAUGGGAGACCGACCAGUGCUGGUAG
rnacentral:rRNA from 1 species